rnacentral:rRNA from 1 species
ACGCUCGACACCUACGGGCGGCAGCAGUGGGGAAUAUUGCACAAUGGGGGAAACCCUGAUGCAGCGACGCCGCGUGAGUGAAGAAGUAUUUCGGUAUGUAAAGCUCUAUCAGCAGGGAAGAAAAUGACGGUACCUGACUAAGAAGCCCCGGCUAACUACGUGCCUGCAGCCGCGGUAAUCUGAGCGGCUGGCAAGGC